GUCAGAAAUAGGGGUACGGAAGGGGUACAUUACUGUGCCCCAAGGUACAAAAAUGACAUUAAUACAGUCUAAGGACAAAUAUUGGACCUCGGGGUAACUAUCUGUACCUUUUUUAGCGUCUGAAAGGUACAUACAUGUUCCUUAAUUGUGAAAAGUACUUAUUUGUACCCAUUCUUUCAAAAGAUAAAGUACAGGUUGAUUAAGCUCUUUUUGAUUAGAGGUUUUUUUUUAAAUUCUUUUUGACAGUAAUUUAUUUGCAACUGUAUUGAUUUAAGCAUAUAUUUUAGUGUUUUUAUUUUAUUUUUUAUUAUUUUCAUUGCUGUUGUUGUUUUUGUAUUCCCUGAACCCCCCUUAUUUUUAAGCUGCUUUAAGAACAAUGAAUUUAUUUGAAAGAAAAAAAAGUAAAAAUGCAUUUAAAAUUUUUUUUAAGAGAGUGUUUUUUUAAAGUAUAACUAUUUGGAUGAAUUGCAAAAAAGCACCCUUAUUGAACUCGGAGUGCGAGUUGAGCCCAUCCUCACAACAUCAAACAAAAAGUAGAAGAAGAAACUCAACGAAUAGCUGGUGGAUUCUAGAACUUUCUGUAAAUGCAGCAGGUGCCAUUUUGUUUUAUCAACGGAGGGAGAUGGAUUACGAACUUGCAAGUCCUGGUGUGCUCUGUUCACUUUCAACCGAGGAACUCUUAACAAAAAUACAAGAGUGGGGCUUAGAUGUCACCGAAGCUGAAGCUCAGCGUUUCAGAGACAAUGAGGUUGAUGGUGACACAGUUGACUGCGGUCUUACUGAGACUAUGGUUGCAUACCUUUUCCAAGGAUCCUUCAAAAAGCAGGUUAAAUUCAACCAAUUUGUGUCAAGGAUGAAGGAAUCUUCAGUGACGCUGACUCUACAGACUGUCUCUCCAGAAGACUGGCAACCAUCUACUUCGUCAACUUCAAUAAGGUAUCCCACAAAUUCUGAAUAUGUGCAAGCUGUGAAGACGCUGGUAAUGAAGUAUCCUUUCCUCAAGGAUCGUGAGGGAAAUGGUUAUGUAAGUUAAAUUUAAAAUUUGCAUAAGGUUCCUUCAAGAUUACAAAGUAAAAGUGAAGCUUUUUUCGAUCUUGUUUUGUUAGUAAGACAAUCUGUAGCCUCUCAGUAGGUUUGUAUGAAGUAUGUUUACUGAUUCUUUGUUGGGUGUAUUUUGUGUAGAUUGUUUUUACAGUAACUUAUGUUUCUGUUCAACAAGCACACAUGGCAUAUGUCUUUGAGACGUGAAUUCAAAUCAGAGCGGGCACCACUAGUCGACCGUGAGGCAGUGAGGCGUUGUAAGGAGAAGUUUGGGCAGCCUAAUAAAUGUCAAUGAACAAGUCAGAGAAAUGUUUGUCAGGGACCAUGCGUCCAAGGAGAGGAUUUAUUAUCCAUAGACGCCCACUUAAAGGUCUUACAGUGCCAAUAUCAGAAGAUGCAACCAGAUACCAUGGUGGUUCAUAACCGUAUGCAGCAAACGUGUGCUUGGCGGCAGAAAGAAAUUGCAAAUGGUAUGCCUGUGGAGGAUGUGUUGAAGAAGUACCCCUUCUUAGGGAUGCCUACUGGUCUGUGCAACGAACUCGGGUGAAUCCAACCAACAACGGGUAAUGUAAGCCAGCGAUUUCGUGAAGGGCUCUCAUGUGUUGCAGCAAGGGAAAACCCCACUCUACCAGCUCUACCUUGAUGCAAGAGAGGAGGCUCUCACUGAUGACCUACCAGAUCUUGACAUAAGGGCUGCACUUUUAUUCCUGCCAUACGUCUUCAAGGAGAAACUGGAUCUCUUUGUCAUACUUGGAGAGGUGUGUGUAUUAAAAUAUUUAGUCUAUAUAAAAGGAAAACAAAUGUAUCUUUUGUUAAGAGACUAAGAUAUUGCUUUCCUCUACCUUCU